GGUAAAUGAAAUUUUAUGUUGGAAAUAAAAUAUCAAAAUUAAAUAGAGUAUAAAAUACAGACGUAUUGCAUGCUUCAAAAUGCACUGCUUAAAAAUGCACGAAUGCUUGCUUAAAAUAUUAGCUGAAUCAAAAUAUUCAAAAAAUAUGAAAUAAUAAACAAUUUAGCAUAAAUGUUUUCACCGACUUUUCAUGAGCAAAACAAAUAUUUAAUUUAGUGACCAUUGAGUGGAGAGAAUAUCCGCCAUUUUAUCACGAUGAAAAUAUCUGCCAAUCUAUUAACGCGUUUAAUGAUUUGAGGUAGUAAAUAACAAGUGUCGCAAUACGGUCUUGUUAUUGUUUUCAUUACUAUUGGGGGCACAAUGCUAAUAUCAAACGUCAGUGUCAACAAAUUUCUGUUAACUUCAGCUAAUAUCUAACGUCAAGCACCUAAAGCGGCCCCACACUACGACUACUAAUAACAAAAACUACCAUCAUAGCAAAGAAUGAGAGAGUUUUUGAAGAUUUCUGAGUUUCUCCCAACAUUUAAAAUUGGGAACGCAAUUUACUACAGCACUUUGUAACACGAAACUACUGUCCAUUACAUUAUAAUAUAAACAUACUUAAGG